rnacentral:lncRNA from 1 species
CCAGCAUGUACCACCCAGUGAGACUUUGUGGAUUAAGAAUCGGGGUGAAAUAAGCCACUAGCUGUUUUAGAGCAGAGGGGAAGGUAGCAGCUAGAUUCAAGCUGUUGUGCUGUGUCAGAACUUUUUCCUCUCACAGCUGACUGUUCCAUCAAUAAGAAUGUUUGUUUCCUUUCAGGAAAGGUGCUACUUUUUUCACACACUGAGGGGGGAAAAAAAGCUUUCUCAGUCCCUAAAUCUCUAAUGGAUCUGGCAUAAGCUUACUAUUUGGCAGGCUAUUUCUGCUGAAGUAGUCAGAAAAUAGUUAAUGUUUUUGAACAUUCCACUGAAAUGAAUGAGGCAAUUCAUACCUCUGAGCUAUUGUUUUAGGGUUUUGUUCUUUGUUUCCUAUUGUAAAAUGUCUGGAAACACAGGAAGAUGACAGUUGUAUUGGUUAAUAUUUUGAAAACUUUCUUCAAAUGCUUGAGGACUAGAAAUACAAUUUGAAACAAAGCCUUAAUAUUUGCACACAGCUCAGGACAAGGGUGUGGUAUUAAGUUACACAAAUUAUAUGAUCCUGGAUAGCUAACCCUGAGCAAGUGAAACAUUAAUUUACUGAACAAAAAAAUCUUCCUUAAAACUACUUUGCCUUCCAUAGUGCAGAUUUUAGUAAUUUAAGGAUGUCUAGCUUUUUAAUUUUUUUCUCCCCCUAAAGCAUUCACUGCAUCCUGGAGUCAAAAUACAUGUAAGAUAGGCUGGUUAGUGCCCUGUACCCGACUUUUUUGUAAUUUAUGCAGUCUUCAGUGAUGAUGACGGUGUGAUGAUGCCUUCUGCAGAGAAAUGGGAGGGAUUGAGGACAGGGUCUGAGCCCACCUGAGCUUCACUGGAAACUGGACGUGAUGUGGAAUUAGAGCCUACCCAGCUGAAGCCACCCAACACUUACUACAAAUAUAGCCGUGAUGCGUAGGCCACAAAAUGGCUCCACUCACUUUUCCCAAUGAAAAGCAAAUGCGCGCUGCGGCCCGCGUGCGAGAGUCGGCGGCCGGGUAACAGGGACGAGCCGGCGCGGAGGCCCGGGGGGGCCCCGUCUCCCCCCCGCUGCGGCCGGGCGCGGGUGCCCUGCGCGGGCAGGGUGCGUGCGCGCUUGCACACGCGUGUGUCGGGGGUCGCGGCGCAGCCGUCGGGCCGGGCGCGGGGCGGAGGGGCUGCUCCAGCCGGCCGGGGCCUCCCCGCCCGUCUCCCCUGCACCCCGCUCGCCACUGAUCUUUAGCAACCCGGGCCCAAGAGAUCCACCCUCUCCUCUCUUCUCCCCCCCAC